GACGAACGCUGGCGGCGUGCUUAACACAUGCAAGUCGAACGGUGAGGCCCUUCGGGGUGGAUCAGUGGCGAACGGGUGAGUAACACGUGAGCAACCUGCCCCUGGCUCUGGGACAACCACUGGAAACGGUGGCUAAUACCGGAUACGACCCGCCUCGGCAUCGAGUGUGGGUGGAAAGUUUUUCGGCUGGGGAUGGGCUCGCGGCCUAUCAGCUUGUUGGUGAGGUGAAGGCUCACCAAGGCGACGACGGGUAGCCGGCCUGAGAGGGCGACCGGCCACACUGGGACUGAGACACGGCCCAGACUCCUACGGGAGGCAGCAGUGGGGAAUAUUGCACAAUGGGCGAAAGCCUGAUGCAGCGACGCCGCGUGAGGGAUGACGGCCUUCGGGUUGUAAACCUCUUUCAGCUCCGAAGAAGCGAAAGUGACGGUAGGAGCAGAAGAAGCACCGGCUAACUACGUG
rnacentral:rRNA from 1 species